GACGAACGCUGGCGGCGUGCCUAAUACAUGCAAGUAGAACGCAGUUGCGAAAGGGUGAGUAACACGUAGGUAACUGCCUCAUAGCGGGGGAUAACAAUUGUAAACGAUAGCUAAUACCGCAUACUGUGAGAUGGAUCUGCGUUGUAUUAGCGAGUUGGUGAGGUAAAGGCUCACCAAGGCGACGAUACAUAGCCGACCUGAGAGGGUGAUCGGCCACCCUUGGACGGAGACACGGCCCAGACUCCUACGGGAGGCAGAAGUAGGGAGUCUUAGGCAAUGUAAGGAAGGCCGACCGAGAAACGCCGCGUGAGUGAAGAAUGUUUUCGGAUCGUAAAGCUCUGUUGUUAGAGAAGCGCUACCUAACCAGAAAGGGACGGCUAACUACGUGCCAGCCGCCGCGGUAAUUC
rnacentral:rRNA from 1 species